GACGAACGCUGGCGGCGUGCUUAACACAUGCAAGUCGAACGGAAAGGCCCCAGCUUGCUGGGGUACUCGAGUGGCGAACGGGUGAGUAACACGUGGGUGAUCUGCCCUGCACUCUGGGAUAAGCCUGGGAAACUGGGUCUAAUACCGGAUAGGACCGUGCUUUAGUGUGUGCGGUGGAAAGUUUUUCGGUGCAGGAUGAGCCCGCGGCCUAUCAGCUUGUUGGUGGGGUAAUGGCCUACCAAGGCGGCGACGGGUAGCCGGCCUGAGAGGGUGUACGGCCACAUUGGGACUGAGACACGGCCCAGACUCCUACGGGAGGCAGCAGUGGGGAAUAUUGCACAAUGGGCGCAAGCCUGAUGCAGCGACGCCGCGUGGGGGAUGACGGCCUUCGGGUUGUAAACCCCUUUCGGCAGGGACGAAGCUUUUGUGACGGUACCUGCAUAAGAAGCACCGGCUAGCUACGUG
rnacentral:rRNA from 1 species